rnacentral:lncRNA from 1 species
UUUGAUUGCAUGUUUAAGUUGCAUAGUAGGGGUAUUUUAGUAUGAUUUUUUUUAUUAUUAGUUUUCUUUUGUCUUGAUUACUUAGUAUGUGUUUAGUUGCAUAACAUUGUAUAAUCCCAGGCUUUUAGUUAGUUGAAUUCUAAUUUGACCAAUGAUGACAUAGAAAUUUGAUAGAUUUUAUAAUUUAGUGGAUAUCUUGAGCUUAGUUAUAAUUUUAUACAGGAUAUAAUUCAUGCUUGAUGUUUAGAUGUUACCAGGUAGCACGACAAUGUUCCUAUUUGCUUGUUGGUUAAGAUUAACAUGUUUGUCUGCUGAG